CCCGCGUCUGAUUAGCUAGUUGGUGAGGUAAUGGCUCACCAAGGCGACGAUCAGUAGCUGGUCUGAGAGGAUGAUCAGCCACACUGGGACUGAGACACGGCCCAGACUCCUACGGGAGGCAGCAGUGGGGAAUAUUGGACAAUGGGCGCAAGCCUGAUCCAGCCAUGCCGCGUGUGUGAUGAAGGCCUUAGGGUUGUAAAGCNCUUUUGUCCGGGAAGAUAAUGACUGUACCGGAAGAAUAAGCCCCGGCUAACUUCGUGCCAGCAGCCGCGGUAAUACGAAGGGGGCUAGCGUUGCUCGGAANCACUGGGCGUAAAGGGCGCGUAGGCGGACUUUUAAGUCGGGGGUGAAAGCCCAGGGCUCAACCCUGGAAUUGCCUUCGAUACUGAGAGUCUUGAGUUCGGAAGAGGUUGGUGGAACUGCGAGUGUAGAGGUGAAAUUCGUAGAUAUUCGCAAGAACACCAGUGGCGAANGCGGCCAACUGGUCCGAUACUGACGCUGAGGCGCGAAAGCGUG
rnacentral:rRNA from 1 species